CUACAGAAAGCAAAACUGCGGCUAAGGGGAGACGACUGGAUUGUCACGCCAAAGUGGAUGAGGAGGUGGACGAUUGUGCAGAGGUGACCGGACAGAGGGUUUGAGUGAAGGCGCUGAAUCCGGGCGGCGGCGAGGAGGCGCGUGCACAGAUCCCCCCCACGUCCCUGCGCCUUGAGAUAGGGCCGUUCCUUUCCUCUGCAAAGAGGUCUCCUGACUCGCUCCAGAGGAGAAGCACGAGAUGAAAGGCAGCUUCCCAACCCUGCUCUGUUUUCUCUGACACCGAGGUGCCACAGCAGGGCGGGCGUGGCGUGGUCUGAACCCCACUGUAUUCGGAUUUUCUUUGGGAACCCUGACUUCUCAUCCUUCUCCUAUUUCAUCAAGGGACCUGAAUGUAAAAUUAGGGCUUCUUGUCACUGCAUGUUUAUUUUACUAUCAGUCUAACUUUCAGAUGAAUAUAUUUCUGAGGCAGAUUCAUCUUGUUGGCACAGGCACUCGCACUAGCUAUUUUUUAUGCUGUUUGAGAAGAUUUUACUGUAAAGAAGCAGUUUCAUUAGAUCUUUGAGCAAAUCUCUUUGAUGUAAAGUUAUGCUUCUAUAGCUUUUUUUUUUUUUUUUUUCAAAAAAUGGGUCCUUUUUAGAGCAGUUUUGGAGUCACAGAAGAAUUGAGUAGGAAGUUUGUUCCUGUCUUCUCAUGGAUCAAGAUCUUGUUUCUUUUUAGCACUGAAUAAUAAUAUCCCAUUGUUCUGAAUACAAGCUGUUUUCUGAAAUUGCAGUCAGCUUUCCGUGCCUGUAGGUUCUACAUCUGUGGGUUCAACCAACCGCAGAUUGGAAACAUUUGGGAAGAGGCAGCAUCUGGUGCAAUGGCUAAUAGUCAGAACUAUCAGAGUCCUGCCUCCACUUCCAAUUCCAGCUUCCUGCUAAUGCACACUCUGGGAAGCAGCAGGUGAUGGGUCAAGUGAUUAGGUCCCUGCCCCCCACGUGGAAGACCCGGAUUGAGUUCCAGGCUCCUGGCUUCAACUUGGUCCAACCCUGGCUGUUGUGAACAUUUGUGAAGUAAACCAACAUACGGAAGAUCUUUGUGUCUCUCUGCCUUUCCAAUAAAAUUUUUAAUGAAAAAUUAAUUUGUUAAAAACAAAAAGAAUGAGUUUGUCUACCAGUACAUUAAAAGGCCAGUUCUUGAAGCCACAGUCUUUUCUGUAAGUACAAAUUAUUGUUAAAUUACUUUCAUAGUUAAAUAAAAGCUGACAUUUAUAGAGUG